GAGUUUGUCAUGGCUCAGAACGAACGCUGGCGGCGUGCCUAACACAUGCAAGUCGAACGAGAACGGAAUCUUCGGAUUCCAAGUAGAGUGGCGCACGGGUGAGUAACACGUGGAUAACCUACCCCAGGGUCUGGGAUAACACUUCGAAAGGGGUGCUAAUACCGGAUAAGCUCACAGCUUCUACGGAGGAUGUGAGAAAAGAUUUAUUGCCUUGGGAUGGGUCCGCGGUCCAUUAGCUAGUUGGUGGGGUAAUGGCCUACCAAGGCUGCGAUGGAUAGCUGGUCUGAGAGGAUGAUCAGCCACACUGGAACUGAGACACGGUCCAGACUCCUACGGGAGGCAGCAGUGGGGAAUUUUGCGCAAUGGGGGAAACCCUGACGCAGCAACGCCGCGUGAAGGAUGAAGGCCUUUGGGUCGUAAACUUCUGUCAGAGGGGAAGAAAUACCCGCAAGGGAGCUGACGGUACCCUCAAAGGAAGCACCGGCUAACUCCGUGCCAGCAGCCGCGGUAAUACG
rnacentral:rRNA from 1 species